rnacentral:misc_RNA from 1 species
GUACUCUCACUCUCCCGAUCUUUGGAUUGGGAGCGGUGGACUUGGGUGUUGCUGCUUUACCGUGGCUCACCUCAAAUGGAUUCGUGCAACUCCUGGUUGGACAUAGUACGGCGUGAUAAGUGUCUUCGCCGGCACCUCAUUAGAGGGUGGCUGACCGGGAGCUCUGUGCUUCAAACCGUCUUCGGACAAUGACUGACA